rnacentral:rRNA from 1 species
UACGUAGGGUGCGAGCGUUGUCCGGAAUUAUUGGGCGUAAAGAGCUCGUAGGCGGUGUGUCGCGUCGGCCGUGAAAACCUGCAGCUUAACUGUGGGCUUGCGGUCGAUACGGGCAUCACUGGAGUUCGGCAGGGGAGACUGGAAUUCCUGGUGUAGCGGUGAAAUGCGCAGAUAGUCAGGAGGAACACCGGUGGCGAAGGCGGGUCUCUGGGCCGAUACUGACG